UACGUAGGGGGCAAGCGUUGUCCGGAUUUAUUGGGCGUAAAGAGCGUGUAGGCGGUUUGGUAGGUCCGCUGUGAAAACUCGAGGCUCAACCUCGAGACGCCGGUGGAAACCAUCAGACUAGAGUCCGGUAGGGGAGUGUGGAAUUCCCGGUGUAGCGGUGAAAUGCGCAGAUAUCGGGAGGAACACCAGUAGCGAAGGCGACACUCUGGGCCGGUACUGACGCUGAGGAGCGAAAGCGUGGGGAGCAAACAGGG
rnacentral:rRNA from 1 species